rnacentral:rRNA from 1 species
GAUGGAGCUAACUAGAAUUCAUUAACAUAUAACAUGUUAAGAACGUCGUAGUAAUGAGAUAAUGACAAAAUACUACCAGUAGUACAGACAAAUCGCCGUGCCAGCAGUUGCGGUAAAACGGCUUGUACAAACGUUAAUCCUCAUUAAUAGGCAUAAAGGGUUCGUAGGCAGCUUCCUACCAAAAUAGAGUUAAAUCGAAUUUAAUUCAAAAAUCUAACUAAAAAAGUUAGGGGAAUUAAAUUCGAUUUUAAUUUGAACAUAAUUGGGGGAUAUGAAUCAAAUAGAGGGUAAUAUAACCCUGUAAAUAGGGCCUAUAUCCGUAGACAUAUGGGAGAAUGCUAAAUGCGAAGGCAAUUACCUGGCUUUGAUUGACGCUGAGGAACUAAGGUUUGGGAAGGUAACAGGAUUUGAUACCCAGGUACUCCUUACACUCAACGAUGAAUGUUAGAUGUUAGUUAAAUUUAGCGUCGAUGUGAAAAAUACGUUAAACAUUCCGCCUUGUCAGUAUACUUGCAAAGGUGAAAACAAAAAAAUUAGUCGGUUUCGAAGCAAACGAAGAGAAGCAUGUUGUUUAAUACGAUUCCCCG